AUCGACUCACAAUAAACCCAGGUGUGACAAUGAUAGCAUCUGGAGUGACUGUUGUUGCUUGUAAAAAUUCAUGAAUGAAAAAAAUCCCAAGUUCAACAAUUAUGACUGUCCAACAUACCAGUAUGUCCAUCUAUAUAUUAAAAACAGGAGGCAAAAAAGGCAGUGAUGAUUGUAGGUUUAGCCAAAGAAACCAGAUGGAACCAAAUGAUAGUGUCAAUUUGUCCAUCUAUAUAUGAGCCAUAGAAACUUUCAGAGGGAACAGAAUGGAUUGUUCUCCAUCAUGGCAGUCUAUGUAUACCGUAGGCCAAAAAACUAGAGGAAACAGAAUAGGCUGAUCUCCAUCAUAUCUUUCUAUAAAUAGGCCAAAGAAACCAUAGGGAACUGAACAGUUGGUCAAAAACACCAGAGGGAACUGAAUGGUUGGCCAAAGAAAACCAGAGUACAUUUAAAUGGUUGCAUGCUCUCUGUCAUACCAGUCUAUUAUAGGCUGAAUGGUUUUUUUCCAAAGAAACCAGAAUAAACCGAAUGGUUUGUCCAAAGAAACCAUAGGGAACGGAAAGGUUUGGCAAAAGGAGCAAGAAGGAACUGAACAGUUUGGCCAAAGAAGCCAGAAUGAACUGAAUGAUCGACUAAAAGAAACCAGAGGGAACUGAACGGUUGGCCAAAGAAACCAGAGGGAACUGAACAGUUGGCCAAAGAAACCAGAGGGAACUGAACGGUUGGCCAAAGAAACCAGAGGGAACUGAACGAUGACUACAAACUGGAAAACCAAAAACCUUGAGGAUUCAAGUCAUCAAACAAGAAUAUGAUGUAGUUACCAUGGCUACCAAAGCUUUCAUGGAGUUGAGUUACAACUUCUCUUUGAUAAGACUAUAAAUCUACCUUUUGCAUCAGUGCAGGAUCAGUCAGAUGACAAAUUACUUUGAUGUGAUGUCUUCAGGAUAAGUCUUCAUAGCCUUUCUCAGCUUACUGCACAUAAAUGUUUACAACUUAGGGGUCACUCAGAGAUCAACUGCAGAAAAUGCUGAGUAACCUUGAAGACUAUAACAGAUGGUGUAGAUAAGUUUGUUGAAGCAGCAGUCCUUAUAGAAGAUGAUAUUUCAUGUUUAUUUGUAGUGUUGAAAUGAUGUACAUGUUAGUGUUUAAUAAAUUUUGUUCACCAG